rnacentral:tRNA from 1 species
GGGGCUAUAGUUAAAAAUAACAUUUGAAUUGCACUCAAAAAGCACUACACCAGUAGUUAGCCUCA